AACUAGGGAGUGGGAGAGGUAGACGGUACUCGGUAGGAAGGGGUAAAAUCCUUUGAUCUAUUGAUGACCACCUGUGGCGAAGGCGGUCUACCAGAACACGUUCGACGGUGAGGGAUGAAAGCUGGGGGAGCAAACCGGAUUAGAUACCCGGGUAGUCCCAGCUGUAAACGAUGCAAACUCGAUGAUGCGUUGGCUUGUUGCUAGCGCAGUGUCGCAGGGAAGCCGUUAAGUUUGCCGCCUGGGAAGUACGUACGCAAGUAUGAAACUUAAAGGAAUUGGCGGGGGAGCACCACAAGGGGUGAAGCCUGCGGUUCAAUUGGAGUCAACGCCUGAAACCUUACCCGGAGAGACAGCAGAAUGAAGGUCAAGCUGAAGACUUUACCAGACAAGCUGAGAGGUGGUGCAUGGCCGUCGCCAGCUCGUGCCGUGAGAUGUCCUGUUAAGUCAGGUAACGAGCGAGAUCCCUGCCUCUAGUUGCCACUAUUACACCCUGGUGUAGUAGGGCGAAUUAGGGGGACCGCCGCAGUUAAUGCGGAGGAAGGAAGGGGCCACGGCAGGUCAGUAUGCCCCGAAACUCUGGGGCCACACGCGGGCUGCAAUGGUAGCGACAAUGAGUUCCAAAAUCGAAAGAUAGAGGUAAUCCCUAAACGCUACCACAGUUGUGAUUGAGGGCUGCAACUCGCCCUCAUGAACAUGGAAUCCCUAGUAACCGCGUGUCAUUAUCGCGCAGUGAAUACGUCCCUGCUCCUUGCACACACCGCCCGUCGUUUCAUUGAAGUUUGCCUUUAGCGAGGUGAUGUCUAAUUGGCAUUAUCGAACUUGGGGUAAGUGACAAGGGAAAAGUCGUAACAAGGUGACCGUAGGGGAACCUGCGGUCG
rnacentral:rRNA from 1 species